rnacentral:rRNA from 1 species
GACGUAGGGCGCGAGCGUUGUCCGGAUUUAUUGGGCGUAAAGAGCUCGUAGGCGGCUUGUCGCGUCGUCCGUGAAAACCCCUGGGCUCAACUCCGGGCUUGCGGGCGAUACGGGCAGGCUAGAGUUCGGCAGGGGAGACUGGAAUUCCUGGUGUAGCGGUGAAAUGCGCAGAUAUCAGGAGGAACACCGAUGGCGAAGGCAGCUCACUGGGACGGUACUGACGCUGAGACGCGAAAGCGUGGGGAGCAAACAGG